rnacentral:rRNA from 1 species
GACGAACCGAGCGAACGUUGUUCGGAAUCACUGGGCUUAAAGGGUGCGUAGGCGGGCUGUCCAGUCAAGGGUGAAAGCCCACGGCUCAACCGUGGAAUUGCCUGAGAUACUGACGCCCUCGAGGGAGGUAGGGGCGAGCGGAACUGUGGGUGGAGCGGUGAAAUGCGUUGAUAUCCACAGGAACUCCGGUGGCGAAGGCGGCCCGCUGGACCUCUUCUGACGCUGAGGCACGAAAGCUAGGGGAGCAAACGGG